CAAAAGAUAGUUUAAGGAGAAUAAUAACUUUGGAAGUUAUAGAUGCGGUAUCCGCUCUUUUGA
rnacentral:tRNA from 1 species